GACUCAUUCUGGUACACAGCAGAGUGGGACUUCUAGACCAGUUUUCUCCUCCCAGACUUUGCAAGACAGUGCAGACCACUGAGACAUUUGAAAUGAGAUAGGAUUAGGUAAAACAAUUUUUAAAAAUUUCCCUGCCCUGGAAUCAAGGAUGAAUAGGAUUUGGGUGGGAGGAGUUAGUGGUGGGGUUGGAGGAAAGAGCCUGAGAUACUUUCAGAAGACUGAGUGAGGCCAGCGGGAACUCCCUUUGCCCCUGGGAUAAUGGGAGUGGGGAGCAGGACUGAGGACCCACAGCCAGGCAGGAACAGGCUCUAGCCCACAAAGUCUCCUAAUUUCCUAAAUAGGGGAGUGAGCUGGCUGAGGGCGCUGUUGUACCAGCACCAAGAAGUGCCUUUGUAAAGCACAGGAGGCAUCGGAGCAUGCACUUGCACUGUUGCACUGGAGUGAGGAGUGAUUGCAACUCUUCAGAAUCAUCCACACCUGGGAGAUAUGAGGGAGCCCGGUGGCCGCUCUCUAACCAACACAGGAUCACCCACAAAGAGGUCAGGUCACCAGGACGUCGUCAGAUAGCCACAGCAAAGGACGCAAAAUUCCCUCCCCCCAAGUCCAGAAAUAAGGUCCCUCAGGUUCCUCAAUUCAGCCAAGAGUGCUUUUCAAAGGAAGAUUCCAAUUGUUGGAUGCUUGUUGACCUUAAUUACUUAGGUAAGUUUCCUCAAAGUUCUCCUGGGCACAGUUUUCACUGGAUUCCACCUGAUACAAAUCCACAAAUAUUCAAUGAUGACAUGAAAACUGUAUCUGUUGAUUUGUAA
rnacentral:lncRNA from 1 species